rnacentral:rRNA from 1 species
UCGACGGUGAGGGGUGAAAGCUGGGGGAGCAAACCGGAUUAGAUACCCGGGUAGUCCCAGCUGUAAACGAUGCAAACUCGAUGAUGCGUUGGCUUAUUGCUAGCGCAGUGUCGCAGGGAAGCCGUUAAGUUUGCCGCCUGGGAAGUACGUACGCAAGUAUGAAACUUAAAGGAAUUGGCGGGGGAGCACCACAAGGGGUGAAGCCUGCGGUUCAAUUGGAGUCAACGCCAGAAAUCUUACCCGGAGAGACAGCAGAAUGAAGGUCAAGCUGAAGACUUUACCAGACAAGCUGAGAGGUGGUGCAUGGCCGUCGCCAGCUCGUGCCGUGAGAUGUCCUGUUAAGUCAGGUAACGAGCGAGAUCCCUGCCUCUAGUUGCCACCAUUACUCUCAGGAGUAGUGGGGCGAAUUAGCGGGACCGCCGCAGUUAAUGCGGAGGAAGGAAGGGGCCACGGCAGGUCAGUAUGCCCCGAAACUCUGGGGCCACACGCGGGCUGCAAUGGUAACGACAAUUGGUUUCGAAUCCGAAAGGAUGAGGUAAUCCUCAAACGUUACCACAGUUAUGACUGAGGGCUGCAACUCGCCCUCACGAAUAUGGAAUCCCUAGUAACUGCGUGUCAUUAUCGCGCGGUGAAUACGUCCCUGCUCCUUGCACACACCGCCCGU